rnacentral:lncRNA from 1 species
CCCCAUUGUGUUUAUGAUUAUUCUCUCAAACUUAUUUUAGAGUCUACAUUGUACUAAGAAGUGGUUUUUACAACUAAACAAAAACUUUUAUCACAUGAAAUUGAUCCCUCAUUUCAUAUGUAGUCAUUACAUUGAAGGGCUACUCUCAUUCGAGGGGCUGUUCCCAACCUUUCGGAUAGAUUUCUUCAUAACGACAGUUUUCUUUUCUUGACCAUCGUAAAUGAAAAA